rnacentral:lncRNA from 1 species
AUUUGGUAGAGGUUUAGCCUGGGAUAUAUGUUGAAUAGUGAAUGCAAUGUAUCAAAUAAAAGCGCAUGAAUGAUUAAUUGGUCAGUCAGACCAACAUGUAGACAUCUACAUAGGUUUCAGAAAAACAGAGCCGAGGCAGGAAGGCAAAAUGUGCAGAGAUGAGAAUUUUGUUAGGUACUUUAACUAUGUUUUGUUCUCUUCACGGCUAUAUUUUAAUUUACUGCGUUUUCUCCAGCCCUCCGGAUCCAUAUAUCUUCUGCCACCAAAGAAGUCCUGGAUGAAUUUGGCUGCUUCCUCCUGGAGCUUCGAGGAGACAUUGAAAUGAAGGUAUUUGCAGGAAGUUAGGGGUCAUUCUAUGGAAACGUGAAGUAAACCCUGUGAGAACUAAUCAUAUUUAGCUAUAUUUCAUAUUUAAGCAUGCUUUUUUAUUUUAUUUACUAACGUAGAGCAGGGAUUAGGUUUCUUUCUGUGGUCUUAUGAUGAUUUUUGUCAUUUAGGGUAAAGGGAAGAUGAGGACUUUUUGGCUACUUGGAGAACGCUCUGAGGACGAUGUGAUCUGAAGUGCCUCCAACCCUGUCCAGCUCUGAAUCACACCAACUGUGGCUUGAGCUGCUCAAUAGACUGAUCUGGGUGUCGGGAUGCACCCCAGCCUAGCCACAGCCUGGCACUUCUGGGAAAACAUUGAUUACCUGGCUGGGUGGAGCAGCCAAAAUCUCUCUCAUUUUUCCUAUGUACCCCGUCCUUGGGAAUGUGUGAGUUUAAAAGAGACCAGAAUUAUACACCAGCCUGUUGGCCAAGAGGUAACCUCUCCAAUGGUCAUGAAAUCACAAGAAAUGUCACAAUCUAGGAAAUGCACCUAACACAACUUUGCAGAAGGCAGCAUCAGACCCAGAAAUUUCACCACUUUCUGUACCACAGAAGCCACCAUUACAACAUCCACCUCAGACUUGAAGCAGUAAGAAUUGUACUAUAAGGACAAUCAGUGUGUCCGAGAAAUGGUACAUGGCAAUAUGUACAUGUCACUUUCUUACUUUAUCCUUUGAUGGGGCACCCGUACUGGGUCAUGGUAAAAGGUUCUUUAAAAAAUAGUGUUUUGCUAAAUGCACCACAGCGAUAUCAAUUUCUGCUCUCAAUGUCAAAUCACAAGGUGUACCCAGCAUCAUCACCAACACCACGCCUUCUUCACAGAUACCAUCCAGUCUCUUCACUUUUUGGAAUGUUCUGCUGUGUUGUCCAUCUGUCUGUCGCAGGAAGAUUUUGCACAUGUCCUGGGUCACUCUUUAUCUAACAUGAGCAGUGCAGGUCCACACUAGGGGGUGGGGGAUGGUGGACCUGGCUGCUAAUCUAGGAUAAUGCUAUCUGUUGUGUGAAUUCACAAGCAUCAACUCUAAUGGAAUCUGAAGAUGAUACAGUUGUCAGUGACUUGUAAAGGUCCUGCAAGCUCUGCUCUUUCAAGAAAAUGUAGCCUUUAACUGGUGGGGGUGGGAUUGGGGGAGGAGGGGGGGGGGUAGAAAGAUCCAGUUAAUAAAGGUGAAGGAAAUUCUCACUAGAUCAUGUAAUAAAAAUGCCAUAUUUCUAGUAAGACCUCAAUAAAGGUUUAAGGGACUGGGAAAUAACUAGAAAAGAGCCCAGAUUUUGACCUUGCAAUAAAGGCAAUUUAUUCUCUCAACCAGCGACUGAGAAAAGUAAUGUUUGUGAAAAAAAUGCAAUAAUAAUCCUGUAAGUAAACAGAGUGAUUUCUAUAUCAGUACAGAGUAUCAGCCACUCAACUCCAACCUACCUCAGAAUCUGCCCAUUCAUCCCACUCAUUAUGAGAAUCUGCCCACGUACC